rnacentral:rRNA from 1 species
CAGCCCCCCGAGUGGUAGGGAUGUUUAUUUGGCCUAAAGCGUCCGUAGCCGGUUUGGUAAAUCUCUCGUUAAAUCCAACGUCCUAAGCGUUGGGCUGCGAGGGAGACUGCCAAGCUAGAGGGUGGGAGAGGUCAGCGGUAUUCCUGGGGUAGGGGCGAAAUCCUUUGAUCCCAGGAGGACCACCAGUGGCGAAGGCUGCUGACUAGAACACGCCUGACGGUGAGGGACGAAAGCUGGGGUAGCGAAUCGGAUUAGAGACCCGAGUAGUCC